GUGGGGAAUCUUGCACAAUGGGGGAAACCCUGAUGCAGCGACGCCGCGUGAGCGAUGAAGCCCUUCGGGGUGUAAAGCUCUUUCGGCAGGGAAGAUUAUGACGGUACCUGCAGAAGCAGCUGCGGCUAACUACGUGCCAGCAGCCGCGGUAAUACGUAGGCAGCAAGCGUUGUUCGGAGUUACUGGGCGUAAAGGGUGUGUAGGCGGCCUGUUAAGUUCCGUGUGAAAUCUCCCGGCUCAACCGGGAGGGUGCGCGGAAAACUGGCGGGCUAGAGUGCGGGAUGGGAGAGUAGAAUUCCUGGUGUAGCGGUGAAAUGCGUAGAUAUCAGGAGGAAUACCGGUGGUGUAGACGGCUCUCUGGACCGCAACUGACGCUGAAACACGAAAGCGUGGGUAGCAAACAGGAUUAGAAACCCUGGUAGUCC
rnacentral:rRNA from 1 species